rnacentral:hammerhead_ribozyme from 1 species
AUCCAGCUGAUGAGUCCCAAACAGAACGAAACGCGCGUCCUGGAU